AUCUCACAGCGCUCGGUGUGUUAUCAUGCGCCGCCUCAAUGUUCCUGCCCUAGUUCUCUCAACGGUAUAUAUGUUAGCAGCUGGCACUCCGAACCCCAGAUCCGGGGUAGAUCAUUAGGCCGACCCAAUUAGGGUUCCUUCAUUGCUAUGCGAAGGUUGUCGAUGGAUUUCUUUGAAAAUGCUAUAGGCUUUGUUCAUCGAGUGCCAUUGCUGAUACCCGAUUAGGGGUUUAGCCUCAUUGAAACGAUGUGAUCUUUUGAACUUAGGGUUUUCUCUACUUUCCCCCCUUGUUUUCUGGGCUUUUGAGUCGAUUCAAGAUUUGCUUUUGUUUGAUCAGUAUUGCCUUUCUGAUAUCCACUUAGGGUUUUAGCCUGCUUCGAUUGUAAAAAGGGUUUGGAAGGAUGGUAUGUUAAUUUGAUUCUUGUACAGUGGAAUAUUGGUUAGGUUGGUAUUGGACUAUCUGCUGGUAUCAGUAUGGUUGUGCAAGUGACGAUAUCAGACAGGGACAUCAGCACCUCCAAUGGAGAAUGAUGAUUUGUCUUUGGGAAUCUCUCUGAUGCACAAGCAUAUUGCUUGAUAUACUUUCACUGUUAAUAUGAAAAUUAGGUUAAUUUUCACAUUAUUUUUCAAAUAAUGUUUCUUAGCCUCUGCAUUUGUGUGCAAUUUAGCAUAUGCAACAUGGUAAUUAUUGAUUUUCAAAAUCAUUUUUUCACAUCAAAAUGUACAUUUGUGGGCUAUUUUUAGUUUUGGAAGUUGUUUUUCACCCUUUUUGUUGCUUUGCUUAAGUGGGUUUUUCUUAAUCUGUGAAGCAUUUGAUGAGCACCUAAAACAGAUACCAUGGUGUGCCAAUGAUGCAUUUAAAUGCACGUAUUAUCAGAGAUCAAGAAUGAUGAUACACCAUUGUCACUACCUCUGAGGCAUAACCAUCUGUACUUGCAAUCAGACCAAGACUUUUUUUAUAAAAAUAAUUUCCUUUUCUGCCUAAAAAUUCUAGGCAUUAUUUCUUCUGAUUGAUGAUGCUUGCCGGUUUUCACUUGGGUGAUUUGAGGCAUGGAUGAUUUUGAAAUUGUUAAAGGUUUCAUGAGAAUUAUGCUGAUUUUAAUGUUGGAUUUCAAGCAAAGUUUUGAGAAGAGGCCUGAUGAUUGUUAACAUAAGAACGGAAAUUUGAAUGGUGCUCUUUGUAGUAGCCUGACCGGAAAUUGGGCUCCAAAAGAAUCAUAUGUAAUAAACUGUUCUAUAUGGAAUAUGAAGGCUCAAAUUUCUACUUUUCA